rnacentral:rRNA from 1 species
AAUGAACGUUGGCGGCGUGGAUUAGGCAUGCAAGUCGAGCGAGAUUCUUAGCAAUAAGAUGAAAGCGGCAAAAUGGAUAGUAACACGUGGAUACAUACCCUUGGGUCUGGGAUAGCGGCGGGAAACUGCCGGUAAUACCAGAUAAAGUCUUCGGACCAAAGAUUUAUUGCCCGAGGAGUGGUCCGCGUCCUAUUAGGUAGUUGGCGGGGUAAUGGCCCACCAAGCCGAAGAUGGGUAGCGGGUGUGAGAGCAUGGCCCGCAUCACUGGGACUGAGACACUGCCCAGACACCUACGGGUGGCUG